GACGAACGCUGGCGGCGUGCUUAACACAUGCAAGUCGAACGGAAAGGCCCUGCUUUUGUGGGGUGCUCGAGUGGCGAACGGGUGAGUAACACGUGAGUAACCUGCCCUUGACUUUGGGAUAACUUCAGGAAACUGGGGCUAAUACCGGAUAGGAGCUCCUGCUGCAUGGUGGGGGUUGGAAAGUUUCGGCGGUUGGGGAUGGACUUGCGGCUUAUCAGCUUGUUGGUGGGGUAGUGGCUUACCAAGGCUUUGACGGGUAGCCGGCCUGAGAGGGUGACCGGCCACAUUGGGACUGAGAUACGGACCAGACUCCAACGGGAGGCAGCAGUGGGGAAUAUUGCACAAUGGGAGGAAGCCUGAUGCAGCAACGCCGCGUGCGGGAUGACGGCCUUCGGGUUGUAAACCGCUUUCGCCUGUGACGAAGCGUGAGUGACGGUAAUGGGUAAAGAAGCACCGGCUAACUACGUG
rnacentral:rRNA from 1 species